GAUGAACGCUGGCGGCGUGCCUAAUACAUGCAAGUCGUGCGGCAGCGCGAGUAGUUUACUACUUGGCGGCGAGCGGCGGACGGCUGAGUAACGCGUGGGAACGUGCCCCAAAGUGAGGAAUAACUGCCCGAAAGGGUAGCUAAUGCCGCAUAUGCUCUUCGGAGUAAAGCUUUCGAGCGCGUUGGGAGCGGCCCGCGUCCGAUUAGGUUGUUGGUGAGGUAAUGGCUCACCAAGCCGACGAUCGGUAGCUGGUCUGAGAGGAUGAUCAGCCAGACUGUGACUGAGACACGGCCCAGACUCUACGGGAGGCAGCAGUAAGGAAUCUUCCACAAUGGGGGCAACCCUGAUGGAGCAACGCCGCGUGCAGGAUGAAGGCCUUCGGGUUGUAAACUGCUUUUAUGAGUGAAGAAUAUGACGGUAACUCAUGAAUAAGGAUCGGCUAACUACGUGCCAGCAGCCGCGGUAA
rnacentral:rRNA from 1 species